ensembl:lncRNA
GUUAACUAAUACACUCAAAUAUCUUUAGCUUUUCUAUAAGAGAAAGCCACCAUGGAUAAACCUAUAUUUAGUAAUUAGGUAAUUAGAUUAGGGAGCCCUGGAAAGGAGGAAGAAUUGUAAGGGACAGCAAAGCAUCCCUAUUACCUAUCUUGAGUGUUUCUACUAAAUUCAUUUCCUGGAUUUCUGUAUUUACAUGAGUAACCUGGUAUACUCUGGGCCUUAAAGUUAGGCUGGAGUGCUAUCUGUAAGUCUUGUAAAGAGAGGGAUGUCAAAACAGGCAAUUGAGUGUUUAAGAGAUAUUUCUUGGGAAGUUAGAGGAGUUUGGAUAUUUUAAGAAAUUUGCUGAGCUGAUGGGACUGGAUUUUGAGAGGAAAUUUAUGUUGGAUGUAGACAUUAUUUUCUGUUCUAAAUCUAAUUUUUAAAAAAAUCUUAUUAAGGGGGUCCCUAAGACUGUUAUGCAUCUUUGUGUCCUUUUCUUAAGUUGGUCUUUCCAUAGGUGUUAAUGUGACAAUUAUUUAGGAUGAGAGCUCUCCUAAGAAAAUUUUUUUUUCUUUUAAAUAUAGCCAAUUUGGGGCUUCCCUGAUGGCUCAGUGGUAGAGAAUCUGUCUGUAGUGCAGGAGACACAGGUUUGAUCCCUGGAGGAGGAAAUGGCAACCCACUCUAGUAUUCUUGCCUGGAAAAUUCCAUGGAUGGAGGAGCCUGAUAGGCUACAGUCUAGAGCAUUGCAGAGUAGGACAGGACUGAGCAUGCAUACGCAUGCUGUUCAGGUCCAAGGUGAGGAACCUAAAUAUAGCCAAUUUAAAGGAUUCAUCAUUUGGUGAUUAAAAAGGAUUUUAUAUUAACCUUGUUCAGUUCAGUUCAGUUGUUCAGUCACAGGCAACUGAACUGAACAAGAAAAUCAUGGUAGAUGAGUAUGGUUGUUAUGCAGAUUUAGGUGAUUGGUUUCUGAAUUGAUAACAGUUUCUAGAGAUUUAGAAGUCGUCUUCUUCCUGGCACAGUGAGGGAGACAUCCUUAAAAGUAGAGGUUGCCCUUGUAAAUAUAAAUGUUUCUUUAAAAAGGGUAGCUUCUACUCAAUUUUCAGAGCUUCUGCUGUAUCUACGGAUUCUUAAAAAUGAUCAGCCUAAAUUAAUCCUUAUGCCAAAUACACAUAUUUUGGGGUGGCAUAUCUGAUCCCCU